UUGCCAACUAGUAGUAAUGAAAAUAAAGAAGGCUAGUUACAAAUAAUAAGUCAGGUUACUAAUUUAACUUUUUUUUUUUUUUUUUGUGGAAAUUAGUACAGUAGUAGUCUGUAAUUCCUCUUACCUUUACCCGUAUUCAUUUAAAUCCUUUUACGCAUUUUUUUUCACAUAAAGUCGCAACUUCUCUCUCUCCCCCUAUCAAACUGCUCUAAAAACUCCUCUAAAACUUAUUCAUCAAGAAUAUCAUCAAGAGUGAUCUGGCAUCAAAGAAGAUCCACUUUUGAGGAUCUGGGUGUAGUGGCGAUAGUUUCGAGCGCAAGAGUGAAAUUGAUCUUGGAAUUUCUUAUACAGAGUAAAAAAUUUGGUAUCUAUUUUCCCUCUUGAAUUAGUAGAAAGUGACAUGAUGGCUUCAUAUAUAGGAUACUUUGUGCUCUAUAUCCUGAGGUAUUGAGGAAUUAUUAAUAUUUUAAGCUUAUUCUACAAGCACCUUCAAAAGGGUGAACGUGCUUACAAGAGGAUGAUUUCUACAAGACAUUCUAUAUAUUUUGUUUAGCUUAUUGUACAUCUCUUAUCACUGUUUUCUUUUAGGAUGACAUGUCCUUUACAGCUGAAAAUAAUUUGAACAGGCUUAGAAAAUUGUCAAGAUUUGAAGGUUUAUCAUUGUAUCAUUCUACUAACUAGCUUUUGUAGUUAUAGAGUAUUAUUUAUUGUGAAAUGUGAGAGACAUGCAUGUUUGUAAUC